rnacentral:rRNA from 2 species
AACGCUGGCGGCGUGCCUAAUACAUGCAAGUCGAACGAGUUCUCGUUGAUGAUCGGUGCUUGCACCGAGAUUCAACAUGGAACGAGUGGCGGACGGGUGAGUAACACGUGGGUAACCUGCCCUUAAGUGGGGGAUAACAUUUGGAAACAGAUGCUAAUACCGCAUAGAUCCAAGAACCGCAUGGUUCUUGGCUGAAAGAUGGCGUAAGCUAUCGCUUUUGGAUGGACCCGCGGCGUAUUAGCUAGUUGGUGAGGUAAUGGCUCACCAAGGCGAUGAUACGUAGCCGAACUGAGAGGUUGAUCGGCCACAUUGGGACUGAGACACGGCCCAAACUCCUACGGGAGGCAGCAGUAGGGAAUCUUCCACAAUGGACGCAAGUCUGAUGGAGCAACGCCGCGUGAGUGAAGAAGGCUUUCGGGUCGUAAAACUCUGUUGUUGGAGAAGAAUGGUCGGCAGAGUAACUGUUGUCGGCGUGACGGUAUCCAACCAGAAAGCCACGGCUAACUACGUGCCAGCAGCCGCGGUAAUACGUAGGUGGCAAGCGUUAUCCGGAUUUAUUGGGCGUAAAGCGAGCGCAGGCGGUUUUUUAAGUCUGAUGUGAAAGCCCUCGGCUUAACCGAGGAAGCGCAUCGGAAACUGGGAAACUUGAGUGCAGAAGAGGACAGUGGAACUCCAUGUGUAGCGGUGAAAUGCGUAGAUAUAUGGAAGAACACCAGUGGCGAAGGCGGCUGUCUGGUCUGUAACUGACGCUGAGGCUCGAAAGCAUGGGUAGCGAACAGGAUUAGAUACCCUGGUAGUCCAUGCCGUAAACGAUGAAUGCUAGGUGUUGGAGGGUUUCCGCCCUUCAGUGCCGCAGCUAACGCAUUAAGCAUUCCGCCUGGGGAGUACGACCGCAAGGUUGAAACUCAAAGGAAUUGACGGGGGCCCGCACAAGCGGUGGAGCAUGUGGUUUAAUUCGAAGCAACGCGAAGAACCUUACCAGGUCUUGACAUCUUUUGAUCACCUGAGAGAUCAGGUUUCCCCUUCGGGGGCAAAAUGACAGGUGGUGCAUGGUUGUCGUCAGCUCGUGUCGUGAGAUGUUGGGUUAAGUCCCGCAACGAGCGCAACCCUUAUGACUAGUUGCCAGCAUUUAGUUGGGCACUCUAGUAAGACUGCCGGUGACAAACCGGAGGAAGGUGGGGAUGACGUCAAAUCAUCAUGCCCCUUAUGACCUGGGCUACACACGUGCUACAAUGGAUGGUACAACGAGUUGCGAGACCGCGAGGUCAAGCUAAUCUCUUAAAGCCAUUCUCAGUUCGGACUGUAGGCUGCAACUCGCCUACACGAAGUCGGAAUCGCUAGUAAUCGCGGAUCAGCACGCCGCGGUGAAUACGUUCCCGGGCCUUGUACACACCGCCCGUCACACCAUGAGAGUUUGUAACACCCGAAGCCGGUGGCGUAACCCUUUUAGGGAGCGAGCCGUCUAAGGUGGGACAAAUGAUUAGGG